AAUGAACGCUAGCGGCAGGCCUAAUACAUGCAAGUCGAACGGUGUCUUCGGACAUAGUGGCGCACGGGUGCGUAACACGUAUGCAACCUACCUUACAUUGGGGGAUAGCCUUUCGAAAGGGAGAUUAAUACCGCAUAAGACAGUAGCUGGGCAUCCAGCAGCUGUUAAAGAUUUAUCGAUGUAAGCUGGGCAUGCGUCCAAUUAGCUAGUUGGUGAGGUAACGGCUCACCAAGGCAAUGAUUGGUAGGGGAACUGAGAGGUCAAUCCCCCACACUGGCACUGAGAUACGGGCCAGACUCCUACGGGAGGCAGCAGUAGGGAAUAUUGGGCAAUGGACGCAAGUCUGACCCAGCCAUGCCGCGUGCAGGAUGAAGGCGUUAUGCGUUGUAAACUGCUUUUAUACAGGAAGAAACGACUCUUGCGAGAGGCAUUGACGGUACUGUAUGAGUAAGCACCGGCUAACUCCGUGCCAGCAGCCGCCGUAAAAC
rnacentral:rRNA from 1 species